UACGGAGGGUGCAAGCGUUAUCCGGAUUCACUGGGUUUAAAGGGUGCGUAGGCGGGUAAGUAAGUCCGUGGUGAAAUCUCUGAGCUUAACUCAGAAACUGCCGUGGAUACUAUUUGCCUUGAAUAUUGUGGAGGUGAGCGGAAUAUGUCAUGUAGCGAUGAAAUGCUUAGAUAUGACAUAGAACACCAAUUGCGAAGGCAGCUCACUACACAAUCAUUGACGCUGAGGCACGAAAGCGUGGGGAUCAAACAGG
rnacentral:rRNA from 1 species